CAGAAAGCAUUCCUGUCCUUGGCCGUGCCGCCGUGCAGCCUCAGGGCUGGAGUCUGGAGACCCGAGCUGCCAUCUGACCUGGCGACUGGCUCCGUAGGCCCUCAGUUCCCUCCCCUGCCACAGGCACCCAGGUUGUACAGGAGGA